rnacentral:misc_RNA from 1 species
CCGUGGGGAUUCGUCCCCAUUGAGAUAGCACCCUUUGUUUAUGAGCACCAUUUGUUUCCUCGGCGGGCUUGCCCGCCGCUAGGACCCCAAAUAAACCUUUUGUAGUAGCAGUACCUUCAGUAAAAAAACAAAUAUUA